UCUAUUAUAUUUUUCCCUAGUGAGUUGAUAAAUGGGCCAAGGCCUAAAUAAUUCUUUGGAAUCGCGGCCAGCAGGCGAAGAGAGGAGAGAUUGAGGAAGACAGCGACGAUGAGCGGCGCCGGCUCUCCGGACUUCUUCUGAAGUUAAGCGCAACGCCUCGGUUACGUCACCUGAUCUUCCUUCCAGAGAAAGUACAGUUUGCUUGAGAUGCGUAAUAGGUUCGACAGAAUUCCAAUGGCUCAAUACGGAGAGUCUAUCAGGAGGUCUGUCUUUGUUUCUAAUCUUCACCAGAAGGUAUGCAGGGCGUAACUUCAUACCUCGUAAUCUUGUACGCGUUUUAUAUUUUUCUGACUGUAUCCAACAAUAUGUUACGGGAGUGAGAUGGUAGCUUGAAUGAAUAGUCUUGUAUUUUUCUGACUCUAGUUACUUUCGUUGUCUUAGGUUACUGAAGAGCAGCUUGUUGAAUCAUUUAGAUGUUGCGGGACACUAAGUUCCUCAAUUGCACUAAGACAAUAAGUUACUAUAUCUGUUGCCUCGCUCUUUCAGGAUUACAUUCACUGGAAACUAAUUAUUAUACCCUGGCUAUAUGAAUUUACAUCGUUGAUUUCAUCCAUUUUGACAGAGACUAGAUGACUAUGUACUUGACUCUUAGAACAACUAAAAAAGUAAUUUGUUUGCAUAUUGUGAUCAGAAGAAAUGUAUGCUUAUUGUCCUAACAAUACAUGCUUCUGUGCGCCUCCUAAAAAUCUCAAGACUAAGUUCAAGUUGAGGCUCGCACCAUGUUAGAGCUUUCUCAACAAGUACAAAGUACAACGGAUGUAGGAGCUUUGUGUUCACUUUGUGUUUCAAUAAUCUUGAUUUUAUUCUUGGAAAAUAAAGGGCCGUAUAUAACCGAUCCGAACUUGGAUACAAAGCCAAAUAUCGAUUCAGAUCUUACUUGUCUUUACUAAAUCAAACUAAUAGAAAUCUAGUCCAAGCAUGAGUCUUUAACUCGAACUUGACUAAUAAAGUUGGACUUAAUUAAUAUUGGAUCCAUAAUGAUCAAAUCAUUACCUUGAUAGAUUUUAUUGAGGUUAUGAUCUAGGAGAAUUCAAUAGAAAGACCAUCUUUAUUAUUAGAUAGAUUUGCUUGAUUGCCUGAUUUACUGCUUUCCUUAUUGCUGCCUAGAUUAGGAUUAUUAGAUAAAAACUUAAAGUAUAACUUAAAUAUUAAUCAAUUCCUAGAUUUCAAAUUAUAAACAUCUCAAAAAAAAAUUUAUAAGGAUUAAUCUAGAAAUGGGUGAGAUGUAAGGAUUAAUCUAUUAAUUUACUUAACCUAACUCAAACUAAUCAAAUACUUAACCAAACUCAUUCUUUUUUCAAAAUUUAAAUCUAAUUAUUUUUCAAAACUUAAUUCAUAUUUUUAAUUAAUUU